GGGUAGGCUGAAUAGACUUAAAAGGACAGCAGCCGGAACUCUCGCUCUCUCUUUGGCUGCGGCUUCUUCUCCUGGUCAGAUGCCUCUCAGCGGAGAUGCCCCAGGCAUCCAUCGGCCAAGUCUACUUCUCCUGGGAACUGAACACGUGUGACUCUGCUAGCCGCAGAAAGCAACUGUUGAGAGCAGAGUGGCUGAUCUUUUGCUUACUGUCCUGUGUCCUGACAGAAAAACACAGCUUGUGUCCUCAGUCUCUUUGAUGCCCUCAGCUUCAGGACCAAGUAAUAGAAUAUUCUGAGCCUCUUCUGUAAAGAAAGUCCAAGGUGUGGAGCCGGGGCCUCGAACUGAGAUUCCUACGCUGGUCCUUGCGCUUUGUACCACGUGUGCUUAACCCGAUGCGCUACCACCCGACUCCUGGGUUCCAGUUUUGCGAUGACUUGAUUCCCUCCGGAGUUGCCACACUCAGCCACCCUUCUUCUUCCAGCCUCCGAAUCCCUUUUCUGUCAUCAAACACAGACAGAGAGUCAAGCAGGGAGUCAUGGGGAAUCUUCAAAGGUCAGCUUCUAUUGCUUGUCAAUAGCUGACAUUUAAGCAUUUCUUUCAGACGUGGCUGAUAAUGUUUUCUUGAGAUAGGCCAGAGGAAUUGCUGUGUCGGUAUGCAAUUAUGCUCCUAAUGAGAUGCGUACAUGCAAAUUGGGUGGUACGUGCCAGCGCCUUUUGUCGCGACUGCAGCCACCAGGAGACUUUGAUAGAUAAGGUGUCACUCUGCAGAGUUGGAAGGCUCUUAGGGAAGCAUCUAUACCGUGCUACAGCUAGAUGCUAAUUAGCAGGGACCCUUAGCAAUGCUAAAUAGAGAGGUCCAGUGAUUUUUUUUUUUUUUUGUCUUUCCUUCCUUGGUAAAUUUUGACAACUUCCUUGAACCAAUCAUAUCAACAAGAUUAGUCAGUGAAUGUGGCAAACAUCUUUAUCCUCUUUAAAAAAAUUUAAAACCAAAUGGAACAUGCCCUACAAAAUGCAUUGUAUAUUCAUAAGUAUAUCCAGUAGAAAGCUAGCUACCUCGAAUGAUUGACUUUAAAAAAAAAUCAUUUAAAAUGCAAAUAAGGUGAUAAUACAUCAACGGAUUCCAUCAGAUUCAGAAAAAAAAUACCCAUAUGAUAUCUUUUUCAAAAGAUUAUUUUUCCAUCCUCGCGUUUUGUGAGGUUGUAAAAAAAAAAAAGAAAGAAAAUCAAAGCAGUGGUGUCAAUGAUGACUUUGAAAGUUAUUGCACACUCUUGAGUUAUUCUACAUGUUAAUCCGAAAUGGUUUUUCAAGCACCACAAAGUAAUUACAGCUACGCAAAUGACAACAUCAAGGGGACAUAAAGCAACCGCCCCCCCCCCCCCCUUUGCAGGGUA